rnacentral:lncRNA from 1 species
CGCCAAUAAAAAAGAUAGCGGUAACUACAGCUGUUCGUUAGCCGACGUGGCUGCGACGACCGUUUCCGUACACGUGUUGAACGGUGAAAAUCCGGCGGCCAUGCAGCACGGAGGAAGCGCUGGACUUCGUUCAGCCUUUGCCCUGAUCAUCGCGCUUUCCAUAACGUCACUUUUGAGGUGACCACGUGGCCCGGGAAUAUUAAUUAACUAUAAUAAUUAUUACAAUUAAUUUUACGCGACGACACGGUCCUGAAAUCGUUAUGACGACGACGACGACGGUGAUGAUGAUGAUGAUGAAGAUGAAGACGAAGUGCGAGGCAAGUUGCAGAUUUCAGGCUCACAUCACACGAGGAGAUAAAACAAUUCGUAAUAAUGAUAACAAGGGAAAUAUGAAUAGCGUAUCACCGUUCAUCACAUUCGUCGUUAUAUGUGUAUAAUAUUACUGAUAAUAAUUAUUACCAUUAUUAAUAGAAUAACUAAUUAUCGUAGUUAUACGUAUGUAUGUACGAGAUACACGUUAUAAUAUAUUAUAUGUAUAUUUGCA